rnacentral:rRNA from 1 species
CGGGCCGCUCCAGCAGUGGGGAAUAUUGCACAAUGGAGGAAACUCUGAUGCAGCAACGCCGCGUGGAGGAUGACACUUUUCGGAGCGUAAACUCCUUUUAUAUAGGAAGAAGAUGACGGUACUAUAUGAAUAAGCGCCGGCUAACUCCGUGCCAGCAGCCGCGGUAAUACGGAGGGCGCAAGCGUUACUCGGAAUCACUGGGCGUAAAGAGCGUGUAGGCGGAUUAAAAAGUCAGAAGUGAAAUCCUAUAGCUUAACUAUAGAACUGCUUCUGAAACUCUUAAUCUAGAAUAUGGGAGAGGUAGAUGGAAUUUCUGGUGUAGGGGUAAUAUCCGUAGAGAUCAGAAGGAAUACCGAUUGCGAAGGCGAUCUACUAGAACAUUAUUGACGCUGAGACGCGAAAGCGUGGGGAGCAAACAGGAUUAGAUACCCGCGUAGUC